AGACAAGUCACUGACAGACCACAGCACGUGGGCACCUGUUACAGAUUUUUAUAAAGUCAAGAUACAAGCAGUGUGGUUUAGGUGAUCCCUGCUGCUGCUGCUGCUGCUGCUGGUGAUGUAUGGGCGGAUUAAUGGCGUCACCAGAAGACACAUUGCGCGUGACUUAGAGCACGAUGUGAGGUGGAUCGAACAUGCAACCUUCACAUCUGUAGCCUUAUGACGGAAACGAAGGCUCGGGAGACCAAGUCAUGUGCCUGAACGCAAGCUAGAGAUAUUUUACGUCCGUUUCACGGAAUAUGUGUAAGAAACAUGAAGGUGUUGCUAAAAGUUGUUGUUUUUUUUCAUUUUGGUUUGUGGGUGACAUAAAAAACUGACCACCGGAGGUUUUUGAGAUUUAAAUCCCUCAUUAUCGGGAUAAAACAUCGUUUUCGUUUAUGUCCCUAGGAUAACGAUAUAAGCAUGUAUUAAUCUCCUUUAAAAAUGUGCGAAUUUCUGUGUUUGAUAUUAUAAGCAUUCCAACUGUUUUCAUCUUGUUCGCGGUUUUGUAAUUUCUUUUAAUUGUUUUUAAAAUAUGUCUGAGAUCUCAAUAUUGUCAAUAUACUUGAAACGGUCUCUUUCAUUUUAUCUUCUUUUAUUUUGUUUUAUUGAUGGUUAAGUGCUGAGUUUCUCUGACUGUUAGCCAUGGUUUAUAUUGGCUUGAGCACUCGGACCAUGGUGUCUAAUCGUUUUAAUGGAUAGUAAGAUCCUAAAGCCUUUUACGAACCAUUUCGGCCUCGGUCGGGUAGCCUAGUGGUUAAACCGUUCCCUCGUCACGCCGUUUCGAUUCCCGACAUGGGUACAAUGUACGACGUCCAUUUUUG